AACGCACAUUGCACUUCCGGGAUAUGCCCGGGAGUAUGCUUAUUUGAGUGUCUGCAAACCCCACUCAACCAAAAUAUAUUGUAUUUUGUGUUGGACUCUGGGAUUGGGAGAAUUUACUCUCCCUCUCCUGAAAUGCAGGGCUUUGCGAGAUGAUACACCAAACGCAAUAUGACGCCCGCUAGGUAAUGUUGUUGUAAUGACAGCUUUAAUAUUUGCGCGGUGGAAUUUCGCGGUCGUCUCGAAAUGGCAAAUCGUUUACAAUGAUAUAAUCUUUGAUUGUAAACACAUAAAACCUCCAAUCGGAUCUCAAAUUAAGUAAGAAGACCUGCCGAAUUUAA
rnacentral:misc_RNA from 1 species